GACGAACGCUGGCGGCGUGCUUAACACAUGCAAGUCGAGCGGAAAGGCCACUUCGGUGGUACUCGAGCGGCGAACGGGUGAGUAACACGUGAGUAAUCUGCCCCUCACUUUGGGAUAGCCACCGGAAACGGUGAUUAAUACCGGAUAUGACCAUAUGUCGCAUGGCGUGUGGUGGAAAGUUUUUCGGUGAGGGAUGUGCUCGCGGCCUAUCAGCUUGAUGGUGAGGUAAUGGCUCACCAUGGCUUCGACGGGUAGCCGGCAUGAGAGGGUGACCGGUCACACUGGGACUGAGACACGGCCCAGACUCCUACGGGAGGCAGCAGUGGGGAAUAUUGGACAAUGGGCGGAAGCCUGAUCCAGCAACGCCGCGUGAGGGAUGACGGCCUUCGGGUUGUAAACCUCUUUCAGUACCGACGAAGCGCAAGUGACGGUAGGUACAGAAGAAGCACCGGCCAACUACGUG
rnacentral:rRNA from 1 species